rnacentral:lncRNA from 1 species
AGCAACAUUCUUUCUCGGCCUAUCUCCUAUUCAUGAUGAAUAUCCUCUAAGGAUUUUCAUAGAGGAUUUCUUUCGGAUGACGAUGAGCAAAAAGAAAAAAAAAGGGUUUAAAUGAUGUUUUUGUCGUGGGUACAUUUUUUGUUAUAAAGAGGAUGGAGGUAUGCGUGUUUUUUAUUAUUAUGGAGGUGUUAAAUUAUGAAGGUUUGGAUAUGCAGUGUAUGGUUUUAGUAUUGAAGAAUAAGAAAGAGAAUGGAGUGGUGGUUGGAAGUAAUGAGAGAGAAAA